AGUGAACGCUGGCGGUAGGCCUAACACAUGCAAGUCGAACGGCAGCACAGUAAGAGCUUGCUCUUACGGGUGGCGAGUGGCGGACGGGUGAGGAAUACAUCGGAAUCUACUUUUUCGUGGGGGAUAACGUAGGGAAACUUACGCUAAUACCGCAUACGACCUACGGUUGAAAGCAGGGGAUCUUCGGACCUUGCGCGAUUGAAUGAGCCGAUGUCGGAUUAGCUAGUUGGCGGGGUCAAGGCCCACCAAGGCGACGAUCCGUAGCUGGUCUGAGAGGAUGAUAAGCCACACUGGAAGGGAGACACGGACCAGACGCCUAAGGGAGGCAGCAGUGGGGAAUAUUGGACAAUGGGGGCAAGCAUGAUCCAGCCAUAGCGCGUGGGUGAAGAAGGCCUUCGGGUUGGAAAGACCGUUUGUUGGGAAAGAAAAGCAGCAGGUUAAUACCCCGCUGUUCUGACGGUACCCAAAGAAGAAGCACCGGCUAACUUCGUG
rnacentral:rRNA from 1 species